rnacentral:rRNA from 1 species
GUGCCAGCAGCCGCGGUAAUACGAAGGGUGCAAGCGUUACUCGGAAUUACUGGGCGUAAAGCGUGCGUAGGUGGUUCGUUAAGUCUGCCGUGAAAGCCCCGGGCUCAACCUGGGAAUGGCGGUGGAUACUGGCGGACUAGAGUGCGGUAGAGGGUGGUGGAAUUCCCGGUGUAGCAGUGAAAUGCGUAGAGAUCGGGAGGAACAUCUGUGGCGAAGGCGGCCACCUGGACCAGCACUGACACUGAGGCACGAAAGCGUGGGGAGCAAACAGGAUUAGAUACCCUGGUAGUCC